rnacentral:rRNA from 1 species
AUACGGAGGGUGCAAGCGUUACUCGGAAUCACUGGGCGUAAAGCGCGCGCAGGCGGUCUUUUAAGUUGGAUGUGAAAGCCUACGGCUCAACCGUAGAACUGCAUCCAAAACUAUUAGACUAGAGUGUGGGAGAGGAAGAUGGAAUUAGUUGUGUAGGGGUAAAAUACGUAGAGAUAACUAGGAAUACCAAAAGCGAAGGCAAUCUUCUGGAACACUACUGACGCUGAGGCGCGAAAGCGUGGGGAGCAAACAGGAUUAGAAACCCUUGUAGUCC